rfam:Calypte anna contig94379, whole genome shotgun sequence.
CUGAGCUGGUGAUGAGAAAGUUAUCCCUGUCUGAAAGCCCCCUGUGGAAACGUGAUUCUGAGGCUCAG